ACUGAAUAGAUACCCUGGUAGUCCACGCCCUAAACGAUGUCUACUAGUUGUCGGGGAUUCAUUUCCUUGGUAAACGCAGCUAAACGCGUGAAGUAGACCGCCUGGGGAGUACGGCCGCAAGGUUAAAACUCAAAGGAAUUGACGGGGACCCGCACAAGCGGUGGAUGAUGUGGAUUAAUUCGAUGCAACGCGAAAAACCUUACCUACGCUUGACAUGCCAGGAACUUUCCAGAGAUGGAUUGGUGCCCGAAAGGGAACCUGGACACAGGUGCUGCAUGGCUGUCGUCAGCUCGUGUCGUGAGAUGUUGGGUUAAGUCCCGCAACGAGCG
rnacentral:rRNA from 1 species